rnacentral:rRNA from 1 species
GAGAGACCCGAACGUUAUUCGGAAUUACUGGGCUUACAGAGUUCGUAGGCGGCUCAGAAAGUUGGGUGUGAAAUCCCUCGGCUCAACCGAGGAAUUGCGCUCAAAACUACUGAGCUUGAGGGGUAUAGAGGUAAGCGGAACUGAUGGUGGAGCGGUGAAAUGCGUUGAUAUCAUCAGGAACACCGGUGGCGAAGGCGGCUUACUGGGUACCUCCUGACGCUGAGGAACGAAAGCUAGGGGAGCGAACGGGAUUAGAUACCCCGGUAGUCCUAGCUGUAAACGAUGAGCACUGGGUCGAGGAACUGUCCAGUUUCUCGGCCGUAGCGAAAGUGUUAAGUGCUCCGCCUGGGGAGUAUGGUCGCAAGGCUGAA